rnacentral:rRNA from 2 species
GAAGGUCACGGCGAGACGAGCCGUUUAUCAUUACGAUAGGUGUCAAGUGGAAGUGCAGUGAUGUAUGCAGCUGAGGCAUCCUAACAGACCGGUAGACUUGAACCUUGUUCCUACAUGACCCGAUCAAUUCGAUCAGGCACUCGCCAUCUAUUUUCAUUGUUCAACUCUUUGACAACACGAAAAACCAUUGUUCAACUCUUUGACAACAUGAAAAACCAAAAGCUCUGCCCUCCCCUCUAUCUAUCCAAGGGAUGGAAGGGCAG